CAGCCGUAAACUAUGCGCGUUAGGUGUACUGGUGACCACGAGUCACCGGGGUGCCGAAGGGAAACCGUGAAACGUGCCGCCUGGGAAGUACGGUCGCAAGGCUGAAACUUAAAGGAAUUGGCGGGGGGAGCACCACAACGGGUGGAGCCUGCGGUUUAAUUGGACUCAACGCCGGAAAUCUCACCGGAUAGGACAGACAUAUGAUAGUCGGGCUGAAGACUCUACUUGAUGAUCUGAGAGGAGGUGCAUGGCGUCAGUGACU
rnacentral:rRNA from 1 species